CAGCAAGUGAGUGGCAGGGUUAUCAUUGGUACAUCCGAGGAUUGUCAGGGGAUGAAGGAUGGGGAUCUAUAUUUAGAUCCACAGCAGAAUCAUCUUGGAAGAAAGGUACCUUUGGUUGGACAUCCCAGGCUCAACAGUGGUCCAGAAUAAUUUCUAAUUUUACUGUUUCAGAUUUGUUUUUCACUUUCCGUGUUAACAGUACUGGUCAACCUUUCCUUUUAUCCCCAACAAUACACAGUCUGAUGGAAAAUUGACAGUGGCUAUUGAAGGUAUGCGCACAUUUGUAACACUCAGCAUUAAAUGAGAGUAUUUACAAAAAAAUUAAUCAGGGAUCUACUUCUUUAUCUGAAUGUGCUUGAUUCCUUUUCUCCAUUUAUUCAAAACAACUCCAACACAAUGAGGUUUCCCAGGUAAUGGUGGUAUAUUGAAAUAUACACAUAUACUUACAACUUCACCUUUAGAAGAAACCACCACCCAACUACACCGUCUUUUUCUUAUUUACACAGUACUUUAAAGUUUCUAAAGUUUCUUUGGCGUCUUUUGUCCCUCUGGACAAAGCAGUCUCAAAGAUAGUGGGGCCUGUGAUGCUCCGUUCGCCUUCUGAUGGUCAACGACUUCUUACCGGAUCAGCUGUGAUGGAAAUCGUGAGACUUUCUGUUGAAGGAAGACCUUAGGAAGUGUGGCAGAAAGUUCCGGUAUAUUCCUCAGCUUUUUUAAUCCAUAGAACCAUCCGUUGCUUUAAUCCAUCCUUCAAGCGGCAGUCAAACAUCACCCCAGCCAGUUUGUUUCCCCUUCCUCCUGCUUGGCUCCAUCUUUCUCUCUUUUCUGCUGUCAUUAGCUGUCAUCAGCCACACACCUGAGUGACCGGAAGUCACCAGCAGGAAGUCUCUUGGCCGCCAUAUUUGUAGUCCACAAAAACAUAAUCCAAAACCAAAUACAAAUCAAACUAUUAUAAUGUGCUCACCUGGAAACUUAAUGACAUACUGGACCAUUAAUAUUGGUGGAUAAUUUGGAAAGUAUUUUUUUUUCCCAACAGCGAAAUGAAAAUCCUAUAUUUGUGUGGCAAUGCUACACAUUGAAUAACAAAAUGAAGGAACAUUAAGGUGUAGAAACAUCUAUGUGGGAUGACUGGCUGAAAAUGUUUGGUCCAUGGAAAACUUUAGUCUCCUCCGUUCUCGUUGCAGUAGCAGUUUUUUCAGCGAUUCUCACACUCUGUGGUUGUUGUUGUAUUCCCUGCCUUAGGACCCUUAUGACACGCCUCAUAGAGCAGGCUCUGGGAGAAAAGGUUCGGGAGUACGGACAGUAUACAAUGUUACCUGUCAGUGAUCCCUUUUCACCACCUUGGUUGGGAAAUCAGUCUGUGAGUUUGUUCUGUUUAACCUAUCUCCAUUAUUUCCCUUAAUUCUAGGUGUUUUCUUUUCUUGAUAGGAAGUGUUAUCUUUGUUGUAUUUUUUACCUUUUUACUUUUAUAUUUUGACUUUUAAAUUUUGAAUUUGACUUUGAAUGUUUUAUUUUUCUGUCUUUACUGUUUCAUGUCUUGUUCUCUGUAAAUGCCAAUGUGCCAAAUAUCUAAUGAAGCAUAAGUAUCUUUAGGGAUGGUCGCCGAUGGGGCACGGGACCGUGGCGAGAAUUUUUCCUGUCCAACUGAACGCUUCUUAAAGAUGGUUAAUGCAAGCUUUGACAGGUUUUCGCUCCUACACUUAUGAAUAGAUCAUCCACACCUUUGAAGUGCACAUUGGUUCGGCUAUAGAUUGUGAGGGCUCGAGACCACAGCUGUUUUGAUUGCAUGAUGUGAUAAUCUGUUUUUAUUUUUUGUGUGACCUCACGAAGUGAGGUCAAGAGAGGGAAACUGAAGGAAUUUAUAUUUUUUUGUGGUCCUUAUUUCUCUUAGGCUUUUUAUCUCAUCUUUAUUUCAUUAAAGGUUUUCUUUCAGGUU